GAUGAACGCUGGCGGCGUGCCUAAUACAUGCAAGUCGAGUGACCAGAUGAUGAGCUUGCUCCUCUGACGUUGGCGGCUGACGGGUGAGUAACACGUGGAUCACCUACCUCUAAUACUUGGAUAACUUCGUGAAACCGGAUCUACUACCGGCUAAUAUAUUCAACCGCAUUGUUCAAUAGUUCAAGACGCUUUUCCUGUCACUUUUAGAUGAUUCCGCGCCGCAUUAGCUAGUUGGUAAGGUAACGGCUUACCAAGGCAACGAUGCGUAGCCGACCUGAGAGGGUGAUCGGCCACACUGGAACUGAGACACGGUCCAGACUCCUACGGGAGGCAGCAGUAGGGAAUAUUCCGCAAUGGGCGAAAGCCUGACGGAGCAACACCGCGUGAGUGAUGAAGGUCUUCGGGUCGUAAAACUCUGUUAUUAGGGAAGAAAAAAUGUGUAAGAAAAUAUGCACGUCUUGACGGUACCUAAACAGAAAGCAACGGCUAACUACGUG
rnacentral:rRNA from 1 species